CAGUCUGCCUGCCUUGGCCUCCCAAAGUCCUGGGAUUACAGGCAUGAGCCACCGUGCCUGGCUUUCACAGGGUUUUAAAUUUUUAACUGGACGCUUAUAUAUGUUCAGGGCAUUCUGCCGUAAGUACUCUGUCCUGUUCUGUUCUUUGAAUUGUAUACCAGCAGCAAAUAAAAUAGAAGCUUCCAGCAUAUAACAGGCAUCCUCUCCAAUUUUCUUAUUUUAGCCAAUAAUGACAUACCAGUUGAAGAAAUCCAUUCUCCAUUUACAACAAUACUUUUGAGAACAUUUUUGAAUUAUCUCCUGCAUUUGGCGUACCACAUUUAUCACGAAGAAUUCCAGUAAGUACUAUUUAUGGCUCCUUGUUGGGGGACAGGACACAGCCAAGCUGUACUGUUGUCAUAGUGCCCUCUUUUCUUCAGCAGCCAUUUUUUUUUUUUUUGAGGUGGAGUCUUGCUGUGUCGCCUAGGCUGGAGUGCAGUGGCAUGAUCUCGGCUCACUGCAACACCCAGCCUUCCCUUUAUAUACUCUAUACCUUAGAAGGAGAUUAUUAAGUCUAGCCCAUGCUCAAGGAGAAGGGAAUUCCCUCUUUUGGAGGAGAAGUAAUUAUGAUAUCUUUUGAUCAUUAUCACAGAAAGAGAAGCCCGUCGCUCUUCUUGUGUUUUACAAAACUGAUGACCGAGAACAUUCGUCCAAAUGCCUGCCAGGUAAAAGGCAAUUUAUUCCUUGAGCAGCAGCGGACAUUGUACUCUAUGAGUUACAUCAGUAAGUGCUGGGAGAUUUAUCUAGCUUACUGCAGGCCCCGCGCAGCACCUCCCCACGAGCUUACCAUGAAGACGAGACACUUCCUCUGGAUGCUGAAAGUAACCACCUAAGUUUGAUAUUUUCUACUUACAGGCACUUUGAUUUUAAUGAAAGAAAGGCACGAUAUUCUAGCUAUGAUUUGCAAACAAUCAGUUGAAGAUCUGGGUGCAUUUUCAUGACCAUUGAAUGUUUACUGAUUCUCUUGGCAGAAGAGUGGUCUAUGGUUGUGGAAGGAACAGAAACAGCCGUCACCUGCCGGAUGUGCUUGAAGAUUAGGGCAAGACAAUGGCCCGUGGCCUACAAUAUCUUUUUUUGAGAUGGAGUUUUGCUCUUGUCAUCCAGGCUGGAGUGCAGUGGCAUGAUCUCAGCUCACUGCAACCUCCACCUCCCAGGUUCAAGUG
rnacentral:lncRNA from 1 species